rnacentral:rRNA from 1 species
GAUGAACGCUGGCGGCGUGCCUAAUACAUGCAAGUCGAGCGAACGGACGUGAAGCUUGCUUCUCUGAUGUUAGCGGCGGACGGGUGAGUAACACGUGGAUAACCUACCUAUAAGACUGGGAUAACUUCGGGAAACCGGAGCUAAUACCGGAUGAUAUUUUGAACCGCAUGGUUCAAAAGUGAAAGACGGUCUUGCUGUCACUUAUAGAUGGAUCCGCGCUGCAUUAGCUAGUUGGUAAGGUAAUGGCUUACCAAGGCAACGAUGCAUAGCCGACCUGAGAGGGUGAUCGGCCACACUGGAACUGAGACACGGUCCAGACUCCUACGGGAGGCAGCAGUAGGGAAUCUUCCGCAAUGGGCGAAAGCCUGACGGAGCAACGCCGCGUGAGUGAUGAAGGUCUUCGGAUCGUAAAACUCUGUUAUUAGGGAAGAACAUAUGUGUAAGUAACUGUGCACAUCUUGACGGUACCUAAUCAGAAAGCCACGGCUAACUACGUG